rnacentral:rRNA from 1 species
CGAACGGGUGAGUAACACGUGGGCAACCUGCCCAAAAGAGGGGGAUAACACUUGGAAACAGGUGCUAAUACCGCAUAACCAUAGUUACCGCAUGGUAACUAUGUAAAAGGUGGCUAUGCUACCGCUUCUGGAUGGGCCCGCGACGCAUUAGCUAGUUGGUGGGGUAAAGGCUUACCAAGGCAAUGAUGCGUAGCCGAACUGAGAGGUUGAUCGGCCACAUUGGGACUGAGACACGGCCCAAACUCCUACGGAAGGCAGCAG